rnacentral:lncRNA from 1 species
AACAUAUCUGCGUGGCUGUGGGUAUGAAUCAAUCGUUAUCUAUUACAAGAAAGGACCAGCACGGGUGACGCAUGGUAUCCUACCAAACAACGUAAUACAAGAAGAGGACAAGAAGAUCUUCACCACUAACUUCUUUUUGUCACGCACAAGGAAGCUUGAUGCAGAUAAACUUACAUUAGGAUCAGAAGGUGAUAGCGAUAAUGCCCUGGAAAAAAAUCCUGACGAGCUACAAGUGCAGCAGGUGCAUAAAGUCCAAAAAGUACCGCAGGUGCAAGAAAUUCAACAAUUACAAAAAGUUCCGCAGGUGGAACAUUUACAAAAAGUUCCGCCGGUGCAACAAGGGCUACCAUUAGCAAUCCUUCAGAAACAGCAAGAAGUACAAGUAGUAAAAUUUGAACCACAGGGAACUACACCAGGAAAACAGUGUAGUAACAACGGAAUGGGAAUUUUAAAAUACCUGAGGAAACAGGUAAAAAAGGACAAACAAUAGAAAUGGUUCCUUACACAUUAUUUGGUAGUUUAUAGGUAUUUUACUUAUAAUACUUUAUAUUAUGUCUACAGUUUAUAAUUUAGUUUACAGUUAAUUUACUUUUCAACUUCCAUAUCUUACAUGAAGGAUUUUUA